CCGUGCCGUGAGAAAUUGCCAUUAUAAAAUGGCACUGGCUUCCACUGCGCCUAACUAGUAAACAAGCCUUAUGCGCAAGUGCAAGAGUGAAUUCAUGCCCAGUCACUGCCCAUCUCGGGGCGUAUAAUGAGGUGAUGGGCGAGCAACGAAUCAGGAGCUGUCACGCCAUCUCAGGUGCUGAAAUACCACGCUGCGGGUUAUAUAAGCAGCACAUUUUCCGGGUUCGGGGUCUUCCUUAUGUUGAAGCAAUAAAAGUUUUGCCGUAGAAGGAUCCAGUUGUCCGAGUGAAUUCUUGCCAGCGAGAUACUAGCUCGGGUGAGACUGGAAGAAUUGACUCCAGGGGCUGCAAGUGACUACACAAUGACUGACUUAAGAAGUUGACAGUUAAGAGAGUAUUAAAUUUUUUUAAUUAGAGAAACAAUAUAUAUUCAGUAUAGACACUUUGAAAAAAUCAGAAAAUAAAUCACACUUUUUGUUUGUUUGUUAUUCAACAUAGGGUUUCUUUGUGUAUUCCUGGCUGUCCUGGAACUGGUUUUGUAGACCAGGCUGGCCUUAAACUUAUAAAUGUCGGCAUGUCUCUGCUUUCUGAGGGCUGGAAUUAAAGGCAUGCACCACCACAUGAUGAACAAACUUUGUUCGAAAUAUAUUUUCAAGGUCCAGGGAACCAAAUCCCUCCUCUGCUAUGUGCUGACCCCAGCCACAUAUAUUGUGAAUAUAUCAUGUUGGAAAAACAAGCAAGAGCUACAGAGUGAGACCCUCAGGCUGUACCAAAUUUCAUCUGAAGUCAGUAGGUUAUGUCAAACCCUGAAGUUCCUGUGAAAAGUGCAGAUUCUGCCAAGGACCAGCCUCAGGUCAGUGAGUAUUUUCUGAGACAAGGAGUGUCUGAGAGCAGGAAAAAGAAACCAAAUCGUGGGUCUAAGCUUGCAGCCUGUGUUCUGCUGGAGGAAGCUUUCCAGCCGGCUUUCUCUCUGUUCUGCUUUUUUCUCCCCUCUGGCAGAUCUGAUUUCUCUGCAAAUCUCUAGACAGCUCUUGAGGUUUCCUUUUGAUUAUACUUUGAAUCAGCAUCCAAUAACCACAACCCCUUAAUUCUUAGGAAACAGGAAGAACAUAUUUUCUUUUAAC
rnacentral:lncRNA from 1 species